UCCAGUUAUAUUUCAAAUUACUGCAGGACCCCUUCAUUCCGGAGUCGUGGAAAACCUAAACUUGUAGGGCAUGUGUAGGCAUCCCACCUUGAUGGAAGCAGCUUUUAUUCUUUUAUUAUUUCCAGAUCAUGUUGGCCUUGGGGGAAAAUGACAGCGAACUCUCAGCUAGGCAUUUGUUCCAUCCAGCACCCUCUACUGACAAAGCUCCAAUGUCAGCUGGCAAAGGACAAAUGUUAAAGGCCCAGCCCCAUUUUCACAGAACAGGCCAAAAGGUUGAAUUGGAGCUGAGAAGAAGAAAAUCUACAGCCGGCACUAAAGGAUGGGGAAAAAAUACUUCUGACAUACCCUGAGAAAGUUAUUUUCAAACUAAACUCACAGUUUCAAAGUGUUAUAACUAAUAAAACCUUUUCUAG